rnacentral:snoRNA from 1 species
UUUCCCGAUGAUGCUUUUUCAAUCAUAUAUACGCAAGGAAUUACCGGCGGAGGCCUUCGGGUCCUUGAAGAUAUCAAAUGGCUUUUUCUGAGG